ACAUUGUCGUUGACAUUGGUUGAGUUUCAUUGCGAGGAGAAUCAAGAUGAGUGGAGCUAACCCCAUCGACACAGAACCCAUCACCCUGACGAGGUUUAUAUUGGCGGAGCAGAAAAAGCAUCCCUCAGCCACCGGGGACUUUUCACAACUCAUCAACUUUAUACAAACGGCGGUCAAAGCGGUGUCGUCGGCAGUCAGAAAGGCUGGCAUUCACAAAAUUUUUGGUAUGUCCGGUACUGAGAAUGUUACCGGCGACGACCAGAAGAAAUUGGAUGUUUUGGCCAAUGACCUCUUCAUCAACAUGCUAAAGUCCUCCUACCUCACCUGUCUACUGGUAUCGGAGGAAAACGAAAAUGCCAUUGUGGUGGAAACUGAGAAAAGUGGUAAAUAUAUUGUGACCUUUGACCCUUUAGAUGGUUCUUCAAACAUUGACUGCUUGGUGUCCAUUGGCUCCAUUUUUGCUAUUUAUAGAAAGAAAGAUGACGGUCCUGCUACAGAGAAGGAUGCCCUGCAGAGUGGGAGGGAGCUGGUGGGGGCAGGGUAUGCCCUGUACGGCAGCGCCACCAUGAUUGUCCUCUCCAUAGGGAACGGGGUCAACGGAUUCAUGUUGGAUCCAUCCAUUGGAGAAUUCAUCCUGACUGAACCUAACAUAAGAAUCAAGCCCCGGGGAAAGAUCUACUCAAUCAACGAGGGCUACGAACAGUUCUGGGACGCUGCUACUUCCGAGUAUGUACAGAGCAAGAAGAGGCCCAAGGUAGGGGGAAAUAUACCCAAGUCUUCAUGUGGGUUAUAUUCCUAUAUCUUUUAUAUAUAGAAAUACCACAAAUGUCAUUUCAUUUGUUCUUAAUUUUCAGACGGGUAAACCCUAUGGAGCCAGGUACAUUGGGUCUAUGGUAGCAGACGUUCAUAGAACACUGGUCUAUGGAGGAAUAUUCAUGUACCCCGGCACUACAGAGGCACCCAAGGGAAAGCUAAGAAUGCUGUACGAGAGCAUCCCCAUGGCCUACAUAGUGGAACAAGCUGGGGGGCUCGCUGUUACCGGAACAAAGAACAUUCUAGAUAUUGUUCCAAAGUCGAUCCACGAGAGGUGUCCUGUGUUCAUGGGGUCAAAGGAUGACGUCCAAGAUGUCAUCGAUCUCUACAAAAAGCACGGCCUUUAAAAGUCCUGUGUCAGACGAAACUCAAGUUAAAAAAAAAACUAUUUUCAGUGGGUUUAUGCAAGUCUCUUCCAUUAAAAAGCAUAAUUCAUAUUGUAUAUUUCUUUGCAUUUAUUGUAAUCAUGGUUUUUUUUCAUAUGUGGAAAGUUUAGUGUUUUUUUUAUAAAAAAUGUAGAUGCUUUAUGGUAUACCUAGUGCAAUCGGAAUUUCAAUAGCAACUGAAAUAGCAGGGUUUGCUAUUUUAUAUUGAUUUGUUCUAAUUAAGCUUUAAUAUUAUUACUGUGGUUACUUUUAUGUUAAUAUACAUGUCUUGUAUAUAUUUUAAGUGAAUUUUUGUGAAUGAUUUGGUCACAGGUUUUCAUUCAUUUGAAAAAAAAUGUUCAAAAC
rnacentral:misc_RNA from 1 species